UUCCGGUUGAUCCUGCCAGAGGUUACUGCUAUCGGGGUUCGACUAAGCCAUGCGAGUCAAAUGUUCUUCGUGAACAUGGCGAACUGCUCAGUAACACGUGGACAACUUACCCUUAGGACUGGAAUAACCCCGGGAAACUGGGGAUAAUACCGGAUAAAUCAUAGAUGCUGGAAUGCUUUAUGGUUGAAAGCUCCGGCGCCUAAGGAUAGGUCUGCGGUCUAUCAGGUAGUAGUGGGUGUAACGUACCUACUAGCCGACGACGGAUACGGGUUGUGAGAGCAAGAGCCCGGAGAUGGAUUCUGAGACAUGAAUCCAGACCCUACGGGGUGCAGCAGGCGCGAAAACUUUACAAUGCGGGAAACCGCGAUAAGGGGACACUGAGUGCCAGCAUAUUAUGUUGGCUGUCCACAUGUAUAAAAACCAUGUGUUAGCAAGGGCCGGGCAAGACCGGUGCCAGCCGCCGCGGUAACACCGGCGGCCCGAGUGGUGAUCACUUUUAUUGGGUCUAAAGGGUCCGUAGCCGGUUUGAUCAGUCCUCUGGGAAAUCUGACAGCUCAACUGUUAGGCUUCCAGGGGAUACUGUCAGACUUGGGACCGGGAGAGGUAAGAGGUACUACAGGGGUAGGAGUGAAAUCUUGUAAUCCCUGUGGGACCACCAGUGGCGAAGGCGUCUUGCCAGAACGGGUCCGACGGUGAGGGACGAAAGCUAGGGGCACGAACCGGAUUAGAUACCCGGGUAGUCCUAGCCGUAAACGAUGUUCGCUAGGUGUCAGGGACGGUGCGACCGUUUCUGGUGCCGCAGGGAAGCCGUGAAGCGAACCACCUGGGAAGUACGGCCGCAAGGCUGAAACUUAAAGGAAUUGGCGGGGGA
rnacentral:rRNA from 1 species